rnacentral:rRNA from 1 species
AUUGAACGCUGGCGGCAUGCCUUACACAUGCAAGUCGAACGGCAGCACGGGAGCAAUCCUGGUGGCGAGUGGCGAACGGGUGAGUAAUAUAUCGGAACGUGCCCAGUCGUGGGGGGUAACGCAGCGAAAGCUGUGCUAAUACCGCAUACGAUCUAAGGAUGAAAGCGGGGGAUCGCAAGACCUCGCGUGAUUGGAGCGGCCGAUAUCAGAUUAGCUAGUUGGUGGGGUAAAGGCCCACCACGGCGACGAUCUGUAGCUGGUCUGAGAGGACGACCAGCCACACUGGAACUGAGACACGGUCCAGACGCCUACGGGAGGCAGCAGUGGGGAAUUUUGGACAAUGGGCGCAAGCCUGAUCCAGCAAUGCCGCGUGCAGGAUGAAGGCCUUCGGGUUGUAAACUGCUUUUGUACGGAACGAAACGGCCCUUUCUAAUACAGGGGGCUAAUGACGGUACCGUAAGAAUAAGCACCGGCUAACUACGUGCCAGCCGCCGCCGUAA